rnacentral:rRNA from 1 species
GGAGGGAGCUAGCGUUGUUCGGAAUUACUGGGCGUAAAGCGCGCGUAGGCGGCUACUAAAGUCAGGGGUGAAAGCCCGGGGCUCAACCCCGGAACUGCCUUUGAAACUAGGUAGCGAGAGUCUUGGAGAGGUCAGUGGAAUUCCGAGUGUAGAGGUGAAAUUCGUAGAUAUUCGGAAGAACACCAGUGGCGAAGGCGACUGACUGGACAAGUAUUGACGCUGAGGUGCGAAAGCGUGGGGAGCAAACAGG